UGAUGGAGCGAUUUGUCUGGUUAAUUCCGAUAACGAACGAGACUCUGGCCUAUUAAAUAGUUCGCCGAUUCCGAUCUGUCGGCGUUAACUUCUUAGAGGGACAAGUGGCUUUUAGCCACGCGAGAUUGAGCAAUAACA
rnacentral:rRNA from 1 species